AUACGGAGGAUGCGAGCGUUAUCCGGAUUUAUUGGGUUUAAAGGGAGCGUAGGUGGGAUAUUAAGUCAGCUGUGAAAGUUUGGGGCUCAACCUUAAAAUUGCAGUUGAUACUGGUUUCCUUGUGUACGGUACAGGUGGGCGGAAUUCGUGGUGUAGCGGUGAAAUGCUUAGAUAUCACGAAGAACUCCGAUCGCGAAGGCAGCUCACCGGGCCGGAACUGACACUGAUGCUCGAAAGUGCGGGUAUCAAACAGGAUUAGAUACCCUGGUAGUCCGCACAGUAAACGAUGAAUACUCGCUGUUUGCGAUACACUGUAAGCGGCCAAGCGAAAGCGUUAAGUAUUCCACCUGGGGAGUACGCCGGCAACGGUGAAACUCAAAGGAAUUGACGGGG
rnacentral:rRNA from 1 species